UAAUUUCUUACUGCUUAAACUUUUUCUUCAAAUUCCCAGCUUUACUCUGAAAUAAUUGAAAUUUACAAAGUAAGAUAAAGAAAAUAAAAUAUAUUGAAAAGAUAAACUUUUAUUAUAAAUAACUUUCCUUAUACCCAAUACUUAGGAAUGCAGGAAGAUUGGAGGUUACAAUGGUGAUUGAGGGUUACAAAGAUUAGAGGAUACAAAGAUUAGAGUUGUGGUUGCAGGGAAGAUUACAAAGGUGAUUGAGGAUUACAAAGUUUGAAGGUGGACGUUCUCUGGAGUUGAAGUGAUGCCCCUUCAGGUUGAAGUAUUGCCUUUUUAUAGACUUUUGAAUCGGAC
rnacentral:lncRNA from 1 species